rnacentral:rRNA from 1 species
CAGCAGCCGCGGUAAUACGAAGGUCCCGAGCGUUGUUCGGAAUCACUGGGCGUAAAGGGAGCGUAGGCGGCGUGGUAAGUCAGAUGUGAAAUCCCGGGGCUCAACCCCGGAGCUGCAUCCGAUACUGCCAUGCUAGAGGAUUGGAGAGGUAGCUGGAAUUCUUGGUGUAGCAGUGAAAUGCGUGGAGAUCAAGAGGAACACUCGUGGCGAAAGCGAGCUACUGGACAAUAACUGACGCUGAGGCUCGAAGGCCAGGGUAGCGAAAGGGAUUAGAUACCCCUGUAGUCCCUGUCUCUUAUAC